UAGUCCACGCCGUAAACGAUGGUCACUAGCUGUUCGGACUUCGGUCUGAGUGGCUAAGCGAAAGUGAUAAGUGACCCACCUGGGGAGUACGUUCGCAAGAAUGAAACUCAAAGGAAUUGACGGGGGCCCGCACAUGCGGUGGAGCAUGUGGUUUAAUUCGAUGAUACGCGAGGAACCUUACCAGGGCUUAAAUGUAAGUUGCAUUAGCUAGAGAUAGUUAUUUCUUCGGACUACUUACAAGGUGCUGCAUGGUUGUCGUCAGCUCGUGCCGUGAGGUGUCAGGUUAAGUCCUAUAACGAGCGCAACCCCUGUUGUUAGUUGCCAGCGAUUCAAGUCGGGAACCCUAACAAGACUGCCAGUGCAAAACUGUGAGGAAGGUGGGGAUGACGUCAAAGUCAUCGCGGCCCUUACGUCCUGGGCUACACACGUACUACAAUGGUUGGGACAAAGGGCAGCGAGCGAGCAAUCGCAAGCGAAUCUCAUCAAACCCAGCCUCAGUUCAGAUU
rnacentral:rRNA from 1 species